AUCAACUGAGAGUUGCUUGCUGUUGUCCUCUUGCCGGGCAAGAAUGGAGGCCCCGCUGGUGAGUCUGGAUGAAGAGUUCGAGGACCUUCGGCCCAGUUGCUCAGACGACCAGGAGGAGAAACCACAGUGCUUCUACGGCUCAUCUCCCCACCAUCUAGAGGACCCCUCCCUCUCUGAGCUGGAGAAUUUUUCUUCCGAAAUAAUCAGCUUCAAGUCCAUGGAGGACCUCGUGAAUGAAUUUGACGAGAAGCUCAAUGUCUGCUUUCGGAACUACAACGCCAAGACGGAGACCCUGGCUCCCGUGAAGAACCAGUUCCAGAUCCAGGAGGAGGAGGAGACCUUGCAGGACGAGGAGGUUUGGGAUGCUCUGACAGACAAUUACAUCCCUUCACUCUCAGAAGACUGGAGGGACCCAAACAUGGAGGCUCUGAAUGGCAACAGCUCUGACACGGAGAUCCAUGAGAAAGAAGAGGAAGAGUUCAAUGAGAAGAGUGAACAUGAUUCUGGUAUCAAUGAGGAGCCUCUACUCACAGCAGAUCAGGUGAUUGAGGAGAUCGAGGAAAUGAUGCAGAACUCCCCAGACCCUGAGGAAGAAGAGGAGGUCCUGGAAGAGGAGGAUGAGGGAGAAACCUCCUCCCAGGCAGACUCGGUCCUCCUGCAGGAGAUGCAGGCCUUGACCCAGACCUUCAACAACAACUGGUCCUACGAAGGUCUAAGGCACAUGUCUGGGUCGGAGCUGACCGAGCUGCUGGACCAGGUGGAGGGCGCCAUCCGGGACUUCUCAGAGGAGCUGGUGCAGCAGCUGGCCCGCCGGGACGAGCUGGAGUUCGAGAAGGAAGUGAAGAACUCCUUCAUCACGGUGCUUAUCGAGGUUCAGAACAAGCAGAAGGAGCAGCGGGAACUGAUGAAGAAGAGGCGGAAAGAGAAAGGUCUGAGCCUGCAGAGCAGCCGGAUAGAGAAGGGAAACCAGAUGCCUCUCAAGCGUUUCAGCAUGGAAGGCAUCUCCAACAUUCUGCAGAGCGGCAUCCGCCAGACCUUCGGCUCCUCAGGGACGGACAAACAGUGGAAGAUCUCCAGAUGCUGACAAACAUUCUCUUUGCCAUGAAGGAGGAUAAUGAGAAGGUGCCCACUUUGCUAACGGACUACAUUUUAAAAGUGCUCUGUCCUACCUAACCUUGCCCUCUGGGGCAGCCUUGCCGCGGAGGUCACGGAGCAAGAGUCAUUCCAACCCAGGGACUGCAUGACACCACGUAACCUCCGACGUGUAUUUAAACGUGUAUAGCUUAACCUGGAUUAAACAUGAGCAAGCGCGCGGGGUCCUUUGCUGUUGGCUUCUAGUCCUAGUGAUCAUUGGAUGCAUGACCGAGGGGCAGGGCUGGGAGGCGCCUCUCCGCCCGCGGCGGAGGAAGGCAAGCGCCCUCCCGCUCACUGUGUAGUCUGGCUCCAGCCCUCGAAAACAGCUUACACUCUAAGACUAAUUUUGAAAUAAACCUUCAUUUAAUUAAUAUUCUUCAUGGGCUCUGGAGCGUGGUGUGUCAACCCUGGAGAGAAAGGCGGCGGUGGGACUGCCUUGACCUGACGUUCCAGGGCUCACAGCAGAUGACCGGGUGUUGAGGGACCCGAGCAUGGGCCCUGAGGUGGGGC